rnacentral:rRNA from 1 species
GACGAACGCUGGCGGCGUGCUUAACACAUGCAAGUCGAACGGAAAGGCCCUGCUUGCAGGGUACUCGAGUGGCGAACGGGUGAGUAACACGUGGGUGAUCUGCCCUGCACUUCGGGAUAAGCCUGGGAAACUGGGUCUAAUACCGGAUAGGAGCCAUUUUUAGUGUGAUGGUUGGAAAGUUUUUUCGGUGUAGGAUGAGCUCGCGGCCUAUCAGCUUGUUGGUGGGGUAAUGGCCUACCAAGGCGGCGACGGGUAGCCGGCCUGAGAGGGUGGACGGCCACAUUGGGACUGAGAUACGGCCCAGACUCCGACGGGAGGCAGCAGUGGGGAAUAUUGCACAAUGGGCGCAAGCCUGAUGCAGCGGCGCCGCGUGGGGGAUGACGGCCUUCGGGUUGUAAACUCCUUUCGCUAGGGACGAAGCUUUUUGUGACGGUACCUAGAUAAGAAGCACCGGCUAACUACGUG